GCCUUCAUGGUGAAGUGGUCAGCACGCGCGUAUUCCAGAGGUCCGUGGUUCGAGUCCCGGCGAAGGCG
rnacentral:tRNA from 1 species